rnacentral:rRNA from 1 species
UAUCUACAGGCUUAACACAUGCAAGUCGAGGGGCAGCAUGGUCUUAGCUUGCUAAGGCCGAUGGCGACCGGCGCACGGGUGAGUAACGCGUAUCCAACCUGCCUUACACUCUUGGACAGCCUUCUGAAAGGGAGAUUAAUACAAGAUGUUAUCAUGAGUAAGCAUUUUCGCAUGAUUAAAGGUUUACCGGUGUAAGAUGGGGAUGCGUUCCAUUAGAUAGUAGGCGGGGUAACGGCCCACCUAGUCUUCGAUGGAUAGGGGUUCUGAGAGGAAGGUCCCCCACAUUGGAACUGAGACACGGUCCAAACUCCUACGGGAGGCAGCAGUGAGGAAUAUUGGUCAAUGGACGAGAGUCUGAACCAGCCAAGUAGCGUGAAGGAUGAAGGUUCUAUGGAUUGUAAACUUCUUUUAUACGGGAAUAAACGAAUCCACGCGUGGAUUUUUGCAUGUACCGUAUGAAUAAGGAUCGGCUAACUCCGUGCCAGCAGCCGCGGUAAUACGGAGGAUCCGAGCGUUAUCCGGAUUUAUUGGGUUUAAAGGGAGCGUAGAUGGGUUGUUAAGUCAGUUGUGAAAGUUUGCGGCUCAACCGUAAAAUUGCAAUUGAUACUGGCAGUCUUGAGUACAGUUGAGGUAGGCGGAAUUCGUGGUGUAGCGGUGAAAUGCUUAGAUAUCACGAAGAACUCCGAUUGCGAAGGCAGCUUACUAACCUGUAACUGACAUUGAUGCUCGAAAGUGUGGGUAUCAAACAGGAUUAGAUACCCUGGUAGUCCACACGGUAAACGAUGAAUACUCGCUGUAGGCGAUAUACAGUCUGCGGCCAAGCGAAAGCAUUAAGUAUUCCACCUGGGGAGUACGCCGGCAACGGUGAAACUCAAAGGAAUUGACGGGGGCCCGCACAAGCGGAGGAACAUGUGGUUUAAUUCGAUGAUACGCGAGGAACCUUACCCGGGCUUAAAUUGCAACCGAAUAUGGCGGAAACGCUAUAGCUAGCAAUAGCGGUUGUGAAGGUGCUGCAUGGUUGUCGUCAGCUCGUGCCGUGAGGUGUCGGCUUAAGUGCCAUAACGAGCGCAACCCUUGCCGAUAGUUACUAACAGGUCAUGCUGAGGACUCUGUCGGGACUGCCAUCGUAAGAUGUGAGGAAGGUGGGGAUGACGUCAAAUCAGCACGGCCCUUACGUCCGGGGCUACACACGUGUUACAAUGGGGGGUACAGAGGGCUGCUACCACGCAAGUGGAUGCCAAUCCCAAAAACCUCUCUCAGUUCGGAUUGAAGUCUGCAACCCGACUUCAUGAAGCUGGAUUCGCUAGUAAUCGCGCAUCAGCCACGGCGCGGUGAAUACGUUCCCGGGCCUUGUACACACCGCCCGUCAAGCCAUGGGAGCCGGGGGUACCUGAAGUGCGUAACCGCAAGGAGCGCCCUAGGGUAAAACUGGUGACUGGG